UGGGCCCUAAAUCAAGGCCAGCGGUUUGUUGGAGCUGUUGGUUUCAAGCAGGAGCCCAGAGGAAACAUCUCCCGGUCUGUUGGGUGUUCCCAUCCCCAUGGAACAGCCAGUUCGUGUGGGAGUGACAAAA
rnacentral:snoRNA from 1 species